rnacentral:rRNA from 1 species
AAAAGUGAAAGACGGUCUUGCUGUCACUUAUAGAUGGAUCCGCGCUGCAUUAGCUAGUUGGUAAGGUAACGGCUUACCAAGGCAACGAUGCAUAGCCGACCUGAGAGGGUGAUCGGCCACACUGGAACUGAGACACGGUCCAGACUCCUACGGGAGGCAGCAGUAGGGAAUCUUCCGCAAUGGGCGAAAGCCUGACGGAGCAACGCCGCGUGAGUGAUGAAGGUCUUCGGAUCGUAAAACUCUGUUAUUAGGGAAGAACAUAUGUGUAAGUAACUGUGCACAUCUUGACGGUACCUAAUCAGAAAGCCACGGCUAACUACGUGCCAGCAGCCGCGGUAAUACGUAGGUGGCAAGCGUUAUCCGGAAUUAUUGGGCGUAAAGCGCGCGUAGGCGGUUUUUUAAGUCUGAUGUGAAAGCCCACGGCUCAACCGUGGAGGGUCAUUGGAAACUGGAAAACUUGAGUGCAGAAGAGGAAAGUGGAAUUCCAUGUGUAGCGGUGAAAUG